rnacentral:rRNA from 1 species
GCGAGUCGAGAGGGUUCGGCCCUCGGCAGACGGCUCAGUAACACGUGGAUAAUCUGCCCUUAGGUGAAGGAUAACCUCGGGAAACUGAGAAUAAUACUCCGUAGAUCUAGGAUGCUGGAAUGCAUCUAGGUUGAAAGUUCCGGCGCCUAAGGAUGAGUCUGCGGACUAUCAGGCUGUAGUCAGGGUAAAGACCUGACUAACCUACGACGGAUACGGGUUGUGAGAGCAAUAACCCGGAGACGAUAUCUGAGACACGAUAUCGGGCCCUACGGGGCGCAGCAGGCGCGAAAACUUCACACUGUGCGAAAGCACGAUGAGGGAAUCCCAAGUGCCAGCUCGUAAGAGUUGGCUGUUUUUCUGUCUAAAACACAGAGAGAGUAAGAGCUGGGUAAGACGGGUGCCAGCCGCCGCGGUAAUACCUGCAGCUCGAGUGGUGACCGUUAUUAUUGGGCCUAAAACGUCCGUAGCCGGUUUAGUAAAUACCUGGGUAAAUCGUGUAGCUUAACUAUACGAAUUCCGGGUAGACUGCUAGACUUGAGACCGGGAGAAGCUAGAGGUACUCCUGGGGUAGAGGUGAAAUUCUGUAAUCCUAGGGGGACCACCAGUGGCGAAGGCGUCUAGCUAGAACGGGUCUGACGGUGAGGGACGAAGCCCUGGGGCGCAAACCGGAUUAGAUACCCGGGUAGUCCAGGGUGUAAACGCUGCUUGCUUGAUGUUAGUUGGGCUCCGAGCCCAAUUAGUGUCGGAGAGAAGUUGUUAAGCAAGCUGCCUGGGAAGUACG